AAUUUUAAACCUCAAGGUAAGUUGCUGAUUAACAUCUCCAUUACGUAUUGGUGCAUUUAAUUGGGGGACAGGCACAAUGAAAAGAAGUAUCCGAUUCUCUAAUUUCUUUCAACUCCAGGAAAGCUAUAUAGAACUUCUGCCAGAAUAUAGUACUCUUUGCUUUGUUGAUGCAUCACCUACAUAUGCACUUUAACUGAAAUAUCACUUGCCCUUGUAUUCGGCAGAACUUUCAGGCAUACCACCAGA
rnacentral:misc_RNA from 1 species